CUAUAUAAAACAAAAUCAAUAUCUUUGAUUUAAAAUUUUAAUGUCAUAUUAUUACAUUUUGUAAGAUUUUUAUUUUCAGCCGCUGAUUUUCAGCCCCUUCGUUCACUAGGCAAAUGAUAUCGUAAAAUCAUAAAAUUUAUUUUCUAGGUACAUUAAAUACUCUAGAUCAAGUUUAACGGAGGCGAUCGACGAUUCGAAAGUCGCAACAUCGAAAACGAGCUAAAAGCACGGAAGGCUCCGUGCUUCUGAUAGCAUAGUAGCCUCACUCUAUAUAUAUAUAUAUAUAUAUAUAUAUAUAUAUAUGGUUCUGCUACUUCGUUGUUCGCUCUAAAUGCCUAUGCUUGCACUCUGUCAGGUCGUGAGAUCUGCACCUCCAAAAAGGGACUUUUUUUAAAAAAUAAUUUUUUCAAAAUUAUUUGGCCAAACAAUUCUUUCAAAAUCUUAUUUGGUCAACUAACUCUCUUUUGUCAAUUCAAUGACAAGUGGGACAAAAUAAGAAAAAAUGGUGAAUCAUUCACCGUUUUUAGAAAAUAAUAAAUUACUUUUCAAGAAAAAGAUGAUAAACAAUUCACCGUCUUCUAUAUUUUAUUAAGGACGGUGAACGAAUUACCGUUCCCCAAUUAUUCUUCGACCUUGGCGCUGAUUUGAAUGAAGUAUAGUUAUUUGGUCAAAUAAAAUUUUGAUAGGAUCGUUUGAUAAAUUAUAAAGUUUCUAAAGAUCUAUUGAAAAUAUGUCCUCCAAAGAUUCUUGAUUUCUUGGAUAAACUUCAAAACCCGACGCUCCGUCCCUUGACAUAGACCAAUUUCAAUUCAACAAUAUACGGUUCAAACUAUAGCACUUGUGUCAAUCGCUCUUUUUUGAGAGAAACGAUGCUAUCAGCUUUGUUUAUUUCUUUUAGAAAUAAAUUUAGUUAAAAAUAUAAAUUAACUAGAAUUCGAACUUAAGAUCUCGGUUACCAACUAUAAAAAUCUUUACUGCUUGCUCUAGAGACGGUCAGUACUUUUAUGCAAAUGUUGUUAUAGAUAAUUUGUCACCCGCCACAUCACACCAGACAAAAAAUUUUCAAUUUAUCUAUUU
rnacentral:lncRNA from 1 species